rnacentral:piRNA from 1 species
UGACAGGAGAGGAAGCACUGCCAAAGUGA